AGUGUGAGGCGACGCUGAAGAAGCAGAGAUGUCGUGGGCGCGUCUAACGGCGGGUAUCGUCAAGGCCUUGCUGUACAACCGGCGAAUCUUACACGUAAUUAUGCAACAUCCCAGGAGUAGACCAACACGAUGCUAUGGAUGUCUGUACGUGUUUGAUCAAUAGCCAGGGAUUCAAGAGAGAGGCUUCGCUGCAGGAGAUCGUCCUCCAACAUGCAGGCUGUUGCCAGAAAGAUCGAUUUAGUAAAGCAUUUCAGCGGUCCAUCCAUGUAAAGUCCCUGGACGAAAACGAAG